UGCUGAUAGAUCGUGAUAGGACUGGUCGGU
rnacentral:piRNA from 1 species